rnacentral:tRNA from 1 species
GCCUGGGUGGCUCAGUGGUAGCGCCUUUUUGCUGCGGCAAAAACCCGCGGGAAUGCACGGAACAACGUUCCGGCACAUCGGGAGCGCACUCCCGAAUGAAAUCCGCGCCGCGCGCCUAAAGAGCACCAGACUCAUAAUCUGGGGGUCGUGAGUUCGAAGCCUUACUGCCCGAGAGGGCGGUAAGUGAAACGCGCAGCGUUUCAGGAGUUACUCACCCCAGGCACCA